rnacentral:rRNA from 1 species
AGGUAAUGGCUCACCAAGGCGACGAUCCGUAACUGGUCUGAGAGGAUGAUCAGUCACACUGGAACUGAGACACGGUCCAGACUCCUACGGGAGGCAGCAGUGGGGAAUAUUGGACAAUGGGCGAAAGCCUGAUCCAGCCAUGCCGCGUGUGUGAAGAAGGUCUUCGGAUUGUAAAGCACUUUAAGUUGGGAGGAAGGGUAGUAACCUAAUACGUUGCUACUUUGACGUUACCGACAGAAUAAGCACCGGCUAACUUCGUG